UGGAAGCAGGUGAGACGCACAAGGGAAGGACUUCAGCUGCGUGGAAGGAGGGGUGGCUUGGGGGACCCGGCACCUCGGGGGUGGGGCUGGUUUGCAGGUCAGCGCGUGGACAUCUGCCCAGAAAGCGACAAAGACGGCGAAGUUUGACGGUCUGGAAAGCAGAGACCAACCGGGCUGACUACCUGGGAGCACGGAGACUCCGGACAGCGCCUCUCGGGGUCCAGGGAGGGAACCGCGACCUGCUUCAGCACCCGCGCCUGGACAGCUCCCAGCAGGUCCCGGCCGGCUUCAUUGCAGCCGCAGGGCACGGACAGCUCCCCAGAUGAGAUGAAACGGCACACAGAAGUCUGUCAUGCCCAACAGGUACGAUGAUCAAGCUGUAGGGCUGUGGGGGAAUGGGUGCCGGCCAACAGGACAUUAUUGUGCUCUCUCCAGACUUCUUUGAGAAACAUUGGGUCAGUCAUUUUACAUACAUUAUGUCAUGCCAUCUUCAACUUCAGGACAUGGGAGUUAUUACAUCC